rnacentral:rRNA from 1 species
GACGAACGCUGGCGGCGUGCCUAAUACAUGCAAGUAGAACGCUGAAGGAGAGGCUUGCUUCUCCGGAUGAGUUGCGAACGGGUGAGUAACGCGUAGGUAACCUACCUGGUAGCGGGGGAUAACUAUUGGAAACGAUAGCUAAUACCGCAUAAGAGUAGAUGUCGCAUGACAUUUGCUUAAAAGGUGCAACUGCACCACUACCAGAUGGACCUGCGUUGUAUUAGCUAGUUGGUGAGGUAACGGCUCACCAAGGCAACGAUACAUAGCCGACCUGAGAGGGUGAUCGGCCACACUGGGACUGAGACACGGCCCAGACUCCUACGGGAGGCAGCAGUAGGGAAUCUUCGGCAAUGGACGGAAGUCUGACCGAGCAACGCCGCGUGAGUGAAGAAGGGUUUCGGAUCGUAAAGCUCUGUUGUAAGAGAAGAACGAGUGUGAGAGUGGAAAGUUCACACUGUGACGGUAUCUUACCAGAAAGGGACGGCUAACUACGUG